GAAACGCAAUUAAAAGUAAUCAAAUCAUAUUGCAAGCAUUAACAUGGUUUCGAAUCCCCCCUAGCCAAGGGGGGUUUAGUUCCUCAUUAUUACAAAACAAAGAUAAACAAAUUUAAACAUUGAAAAACAAAGGAAAGAAAGCACCUAAACGUUUCAACGAUCCAUGUUGGAUAGCAAGUGCGUCUAAGGACUUUUCUCCUUCUCUUUGCCGCAACAACAAGGUUGGAAUGAUGUUGAAGGGUUGGUUAUUUGGAGGAAUGGAUGGGAAGAGGUUUAGAUAUGUAGGAGAGGCAAGGAAAGGCUUGGAGAAUGGUUAAUUUCUGGAUGAUUUGAAUGAGGUUGAUGCCAUGGUAUUUAUAGGAAGAGGAUGGACUUGUUUAACAAAAAAUGUUGGUGGAAUUGAGUAGGUGAGCAUGGCAAAGAGUGGGAAUUGUUGGUGGGUUAGGUAUUGAGUCAUCCACUCACAUGUCAUGGUUAGCUAAGCAUUGCAUCAUCCACUCACAUGUCAUGGUGAGCUAAGCAUUGCAUCAUCCACUCACAUGUCAUGGUGAGCUAAGCAUUGCAUCAUCCACUCACAUUUCUGGUGGAGGUGGAAGUAAAAGCCACGGCAUUGAUGUGUUUUGAGUGAAGUUUUGGCCAAUCAUUCUAGAAAUUUAUCCCUUCUUGCAACUUGUAUUUGUUUCACCAGAUUUUUAGCAUGUU
rnacentral:lncRNA from 1 species